GGACAGGUGUCCGAGCGGUCGAAGGAAACGGUCUUGAAAACCGUCGAACGAAAGUUCCGUGGGUUCGAAUCCCACCCUGUCCGCCC
rnacentral:tRNA from 1 species